rnacentral:rRNA from 1 species
CCUACGGGAGGCAGCAGUGGGGAAUAUUGGGCAAUGGAGGAGACUCUGAACCGGCAACGCCGCGUGAAUGAUGAAGGUCUUCGGAUUGGAAAGUUCUUUUCGAAGGGAAGCAGAAAGUGACGGUACCUUAGGAAUAAGCCUCGGCUAACUACGUGCCAGCAGCCGCGGUAAUACGGAGGAGGCGAGCGUUAUCCGGAAGGACUGGGCGUAAAGGGUGCGUAGGUGGUUUUGCAAGUUAGUAGGGUAACUCCAAGGCUCAACCUUGGAACUACUACUAAAACUGUUGGACUUGAGUGCAGGAGGGGCAACCGGAAUGCCUAGUGUAGCGGUGGAAUGCGUAGAUAUUAGGAGGAACACCAGUGGCGAAGGCGGGUUGCUAGACUGUAACUGACACUGAGGCACGAAAGCGUGGGGAGCAAACAGGAUUAGAUACCCGAGUAGUC